CAAAGUUGCCAUUUGACAUCAAUGGGUCAGUUAGAAUGUGUUGAAGCAUCCAAAAUACAUCUUGGUCCAAAAAUGACAAAUUUAUUCAGCAUUCUCUUCCAUGUCUAUUGUGUAGCGCAUGUGUCUGACUAAAGUCUUGUGACGCAGAUGGCGUGUUAUCCUCAGAUAUGUUUGUGAAUUUUUUUCACAUUUACAGCAUUCGUCUCCCUCAGACUGUAAACGAAGCUCGGGCGCACAAAAAAAAGCGGGGACGCACCUAAUAACACAUCAGCCACGUUGUACGUCAGCUGCGUCACUGCAGUCAUGUGACUUUAGUCUCGUGCGCGUUCAAAACAGAACCGGAAGAGAAGACAAUGCUGAAUGAUGUCGUAAUUUUGUUAUUUUUGGACCAAAAUGUAUUUUCGAUGCUUCAACACAUUUUAACUGACCCACUGAUGUCAAAUGGCUACUUUGAUGAUGUUUUUUUAUUACCUCUCUGUUCCUGGACAGUAUACUGUGCAUAGAUUUUCAAUGGAGGGUCAGAAAGCUCUCAGACUAAAUCUAAAAUAUCUUAAACUGUGUUUCGAAGAUGAACGGAGGUCUUACCCUCAUGUCGUUCCAAACUCGUGAGUCAUUAAUUACAUUAUUUUCAUUUUUGGGUGAACUCUCCCUUUAAUUACAUGCUCAUACUUUAAUUAUGCCUGAUAAGAAUUUGUAAUAUUUGUGUUUAAACAUUUUUCGAAUUUUAAUCCUUGUUUUUAAAUGGCCAUGACAGUGACAAAAAGGAAGCAGCCUUCUCUAGCCCACCCAAGUUUCCAUCAAAGGAGCAAGCCUAUGUCAGUAAGAAGAAAGCUGGCUAACCCUCCCACCCCUUGUUUAACUCCUCCAGCCCAUCCCACAUCAUUGUAGAGUGAAGAGACUGCGGUUAAUAUUCAGAAAGAGGCGCAGAGAACUGAAGGCUUUCCUGACUUGACACCGAAUAAUAACGAAGGCCUGUGUGCUUUGCAGCAGCCUCCACGUCACCCUCUUCCAGUGCUCCGUCAGAGGACUAACGAUGUGCCACAAGAUGAUUGGCAGCAAGACACACCCAGUGAUGAAGGGAUGUGCUCUCCUUAAAUCACAGCCUAUUCAUCAGGUACUCCUGAGUGCUGUGUUAAGAAAUCCUGCCUACAAAGUUCCACUGAGGCUGAUAUAAAGAUGACUGUGAGAAACUGGCUGCGGCUGUCUGAGCAGAGACAGGAAUGGGGGCGGCAAAGGCGGGACAAGCAAGCAUCUUAAGUGAAAUAAUUGAUUGGACUGAUUCUGGAGUAUGACUUAUUCUGGAGGGAAUUUCUUAUUUUUGUUGCAGUUUGCUAUGGGACGGUUUCAAGGACAGGGAUUAGACUAGUUCUAGACUAAAAUAAAUGUAAGAGCUGUCCAAACUGAAAACAACUUGCACUGACAUAUCAUAAAAUACAUCAGUGUCUUUUGUGAUGCUUCAAAAUGCACACAAGUAAUGUUUUUAUUAAGACAUGUUAUUAAAACUAGUUAUAUUUCAGAAUUAAACUAAGGCCUAGUCCCGGUUUAAGAUAAUCCCUGUCCGGGAAACCACCCCAAAGUGUAAUUUGUGGAGUGUUAAAAUAAAUGAAACUGCCUUUGCAAAAACAAAGUAAAAAAAAAUUUCCAGAUGCC